rnacentral:sRNA from 12 species
UUGACAGCUCUUCCGCUAACUUCCCUCUGUGUGAUGCAGGGGUGCAUGAUGACAUAGCAAGGGGAGCAU